CAAUAGCGUAUAUUAAAGUUGUUGCAGUUAAAAAGCUCGUAGUUGGAUUUCUGGUAUAAUGCGCCUGGCCCGCUCCGUUUCGGAGUGAGUGCCGGUGCGCGUUUGCCAUCCUUCUAGAAAACGUUUCUACCCUUCGCUGGGCCGGAUUCGCGAUCUAGAUCUUUUACUUUGAAAAAAUUAGAGUGUUUAAAGCAGGCUUUUGCUAUGAAUACAUUAGCAUGGAAUAAUAAUCUAGGACUUCGGUUCUAUUUUGUUGGUUUCUAGUACUGAAGUAAUGAUUGAUAGGGAUAGUUGGGGGUGCUAGUAUUGACCGGCCAGAGGUGAAAUUCUUGGAUUCGGUCAAGACUAACUUAUGCGAAAGCAUUCACCAAGGAUGUCUUCUUUA
rnacentral:rRNA from 1 species